GGUGGAGUGGCCGAGUGGCGAGGCAGCGGCCUGCAAAGCCGUAUACGCGGGUUCGACUCCCGUCUCCACCUCCA
rnacentral:tRNA from 4 species